rnacentral:lncRNA from 1 species
UCGAAAGUGAUGUUAAAAUAUUUUUAUAUCUCAUCUCUACGAUAUUAAUUGCGUUUAACUGUUUAAAAAAUGGCGAAAAGGAUUUAUAAGCUGAUGAAGCUGCGCUCUGCAUGGCUGGUCACGAUACAACAGUCCACCACUUCGUUAUACAUGUCGUAAUAAUGACAGGGACGAUCACAACUACGGAAACCACCACGGUGGAGAUGAUAAAGAGGCGGAGAUGUCGAGCUUCGAUCGGAAUAAACUGGGGCAGGAUUUUUUUCAACAGUUUGCAGACGCCAUCCAAUGUUAUAUUGCUACUAGUGAAAUCCAAUUAUUCUAAAGAGAUGCACAUCGAAUAUUAAUCCACCCAUUGGAAUUUACAAUUCCCAACGCUAUCUUUCUUUCUACUGAAUCUAUCUAUCUUUAUUACUAAAUAAAACGUUUCCUUGUAUUUUUA